GAGGAGGAGGAGGCGGAGGAGGAGGAUGAUGAUGAGGAAACGCUGUCUGCUGCCACAGGGAGAGAUCCGGAGGGGCCUACUGAAAACAUGGCUGGGCAUCACCAAGAGGAGGGCCCCUCAACUUCACGAGCACAGCUUGACACAUUGCCGGUGAAAGAGUUGUACAGGCUUCACCUAAUCAAAAGCAUACAAAAGAAUGACCGAGAAAUGGUAUACCUGGACGGGCAAAUCAGGAAAACUGAUUUAGAAAUCCUAUUACUUGAACGCCAGUUGAGGUGGGUGCAUUGUCAUGGUGAAAUAGGUGAAUAUGUGAAAUAUGUUAAUGGUUGCAACUAUAUUACAAAUCCUGACUGAUGCUUUUGUACUUUUAGGGAAUAAAGAAGAACCAAAUUACAUGUGAAUUUUCAUUUUUAAUCAAAAGUGAUUUCGGGCGAUGAGGUCUCUUAUUGCCCUUCCAUCCUGAACAUCCACAGGGAUGUGAUGUUCAUCCUCAGC